GACGAACGCUGGCGGCGUGCUUAACACAUGCAGGUCGAACGAUGAAGCUGGAGCUUGCUCCGGUGGAUUAGUGGCGAACGGGUGAGUAACACGUGAGCAAUCUGCCCUUGACUCUGGGAUAACUGCGGGAAACUGUAGCUAAUACCGGAUACUUUCACUGGAAGGCAUCUUCUGGUGAAGAAAGAAUUUCGGUCAAGGAUGAGCUCGCGGCCUAUCAGCUUGUUGGUGAGGUAACGGCUCACCAAGGCGACGACGGGUAGCCGGCCUGAGAGGGUGACCGGCCACACUGGGACUGAGACACGGCCCAGACUCCUACGGGAGGCAGCAGUGGGGAAUAUUGCACAAUGGGCGCAAGCCUGAUGCCGCAACGCCGCGUGAGGGAUGAAGGCCUUCGGGUUGUAAACCUCUUUUAGCAGGGAAGAAGCGAAAGUGACGGUACCUGCAGAAAAAGCACCGGCUAACUACGUGCCAGCCGCCGCAGUAA
rnacentral:rRNA from 1 species